rnacentral:rRNA from 1 species
UACGUAGGGUCCGAGCGUUGUCCGGAAUUACUGGGCGUAAAGAGCUCGUAGGUGGUUUGUCGCGUUGUUCGUGAAAAACUCACAGCUCAACUGUGGGCGUGCGGGCGAUACGGGCAGACUAGAGUACUGCAGGGGGAGACUGGAAUUCCUGGUGUAGCGGUGGAAUGUGCAGAUAUCAGGAGGAACACCGGUGGCGAAGGGCGGGGUCUCUGGGGCAGUAACUG